CGUAGGGUGCAAGCGUUAAUCGGAAUUACUGGGCGUAAAGCGUGCGCAGGCGGUUUGAUAAGCCAGAUGUGAAAUCCCCGAGCUCAACUUGGGAACUGCGUUUGGAACUGUCAGACUAGAGUGCGUCAGAGGGGUGGAAUUCCGCGUGUAGCAGUGAAAUGCGUAGAGAUGCGGAGGAACACCGAUGGCGAAGGCAGCCCCCUGGGAUGACACUGACGCUCAUGCACGAAAGCGUGGGAGCAAACAGGAUU
rnacentral:rRNA from 1 species